rnacentral:rRNA from 1 species
GACGAACGCUGGCGGCGUGCCUAAUACAUGCAAGUCGAGCGGACCUUCGGGAGCUUGCUCCCAAAAGUUAGCGGCGGACGGGUGAGUAACACGUGGGCAACCUGCCUAUAAGACUGGGAUAACUUCGGGAGACCGGAGCUAAUACCGGAUAAUUCUUUUCCUCUCAUGAGGAAAAGCUGAAAGACGGUUUCGGCUGUCACUUAUAGAUGGGCCCGCGGCGCAUUAGCUAGUUGGUGAGGUAACGGCUCACCAAGGCGACGAUGCGUAGCCGACCUGAGAGGGUGAUCGGCCACACUGGGACUGAGACACGGCCCAGACUCCUACGGGAGGCAGCAGUAGGGAAUCUUCCGCAAUGGACGAAAGUCUGACGGAGCAACGCCGCGUGAGUGAUGAAGGUUUUCGGAUCGUAAAACUCUGUUGUUAGGGAAGAACAAGUACCGGUUAACUGCUGGUACCUUGACGGUACCUAACCAGAAAGCCACGGCUAACUACGUGCCAGCAGCCGCCGUAAGAC